UACGAAGGGAGCUAGCGUUGUUCGGAAUCACUGGGCGUAAAGCGCACGUAGGCGGAUGUGUCAGUCAGGGGUGAAAUCCCGGAGCUCAACUUCGGAACUGCCUUUGAUACAGCACGUCUUGAGUCCGAUAGAGGUGGGUGGAAUUCCUAGUGUAGAGGUGAAAUUCGUAGAUAUUCGCAAGAACACCAGUGGCGAAGGCGGCUGACUGGUCCGGUUCUGACGCUGAGGCGCGAAAGCGUGGGGAGCAAACAGG
rnacentral:rRNA from 1 species